CAAAUACCAAUACUCCAGAGUGAGGGGGAAAUCUCUGACAGCCCGAAGCUCCCCAUGUUCCUCUCUUAGGCUGCGUCUGCCCACUGGGAAGGACCGUUCACUCUAAGCCCCCAGUAUCUGAGUCGCUUCCCCCUGGGAAGCUGCAGCAGAGGCCUCACCACUGAGAGUGACUAGUAUAAGGUUCCUAGUUUUCUUCUUUCAUAUGUUAAGAAGUCAUUUCCAGUUGGUUCUGCUUCUUAAGGACAGCCUCAUCACAAGGCACUCCUAUACACUAUGACAUCACAAUCUCACAUUGGUGAUGUCAUAAUUCUAAUUAUCCCUGCAGCUUUCCAUUUUCCAAAAACUUCUAAUAAGUCCCAAGAGAAAGGGUCAGGAAAUGCUAAUGAUUUCUCCUCCUUGUAUUACAGAUAUCCCACAAAGAGAUCAUAAUCCAAUAAAAUGAAUGAAUAACCAGACCCAUACUCUUCUGACUUAUCCAGUGGAAGAGCCAUCAUGAACCUCUUUACUUUUACCAUGAUGAGAUCAUCAGGAGUCUAUUUUGUGGGAAACACAAAUGUGAGACAGCCUGAAGCUGUCUGAGAGCUCACGAGGCUCAAAUCCUCACUUUCAAGAUCCUGCCAAAUCCACCAGAUUGAGAAGGGAGGUCAUGAGACCGAACAAGCAGGAAAUCAGAAGCCAUAGGAUCUAGAAUGGGUUUUGCCAUUUCUCUAUUUGUAUUAA